ACCUUUAUCACUUCAUUUUCUGAAAAUUUACCCAAACGCACCAAACUUAAAUUCAUUUCCGUUCGGUUGUCUGCAUAGCUUCACAAGAUGGCGUCCUACACGAUUCCGA